GAUGAACGCUAGCGACAGGCUUAACACAUGCAAGUCGAGGGGCAGCAUAAAAGUAGCAAUACUUUGGUGGCGACCGGCGCACGGGUGAGUAACGCGUAUGCAACCUACCUAUCAGAGGGGAAUAACCCGGCGAAAGUCGGACUAAUACCGCAUAAAACAGGGGCACCGCACGGUGAUCUUUGUUAAAGAAAUUCGCUGAUAGAUGGGCAUGCGUUCCAUUAGGUAGGUGGUGAGGUAACGGCUCACCAAGCCGACGAUGGAUAGGGGAACUGAGAAGUUGGUCCCCCACACUGGUACUGAGACACGGACCAGACUCCUACGGGAGGCAGCAGUGAGGAAUAUUGGUCAAUGGGCGGGAGCCUGAACCAGCCAAGUCGCGUGAAGGAAGAAGGAUCUAUGGUUCGUAAACUUCUUUUGCAGGGGAAUAAAGUGCAGGACGUGUCCUGUUUUGUAUGUACCCUGAGAAUAAGGAUCGGCUAACUCCGUGCCAGCCGCCGCGGUAA
rnacentral:rRNA from 1 species